GAAGGGAAUCACGUUGUCUCAUCUUUAGACCUGACUUCUGAGGGGUGUGUUAAGGCCUAAGGGAUGAUGGCUCUCCAUACACGCAUACUGCUGCUCAUGUUUCUUGUGUCAAGCAUGGCCAUCAUACCCGUUUUGGCCUCGAGGGAACUUGUUCAAAACGAUCCGCAAAAGGCAAAGGUGGUGGGCAACGAGAACUUCCAUACAAUUACAAAUGUGAUAAAGAGGAUGCUCGGCUACUACAGCGACCCACAGAUUCCUGGUUAUCCCCAGCCAUCCGAAUGCCCACCGACCUGCAGCCCCUAAAAACAUAGUGCAGAGGAUCAUGUCGGAAUGGUGACCUUAACUAAUUCGAUUUUGUAGAGGAAAAGUAAGAGGGUCGUCUGGUUUCUUGGUGUGAACAUCAAAUCUGCAAGACUCAAUUAGUCUUCUACAAAUGGAUUGUCAAGGUUCUCCUUUCGAGUACCUAGGUUGAUGCAAGCUUUUUACUUUGCCGAUUAUCAAAAUAAUAAAUAAGAUGUUAGAAGUAAUGCGUUAGGUCGAUGCAUAAGACAUGCUAUCUGUAUUGUGAGUGUGAUGUAUUCUCUCUAUCGAUGGACGAAUCUUUAUGUAUUCUACUAGUGCUUAUUUAUUGGGUUUUGGUUUUCA